GACAGAGGGUGCAAACGUUGUUCGGAAUUACUGGGCGUAAAGCGCGCGUAGGCGGCUUUGCAAGUCGGGUGUGAAAUCCCCAGGCUUAACCUGGGAACUGCAUUCGAGACUGCAUUGCUAGAGUAUGGGAGAGGGAAGUGGAAUUUCCGGUGUAGCGGUGAAAUGCGUAGAUAUCGGAAGGAACAUCAGUGGCGAAAGCGACUUCCUGGACCAAUACUGACGCUCAUGUGCGAAAGCGUGGGGAGCAAACAGG
rnacentral:rRNA from 1 species